rnacentral:rRNA from 1 species
GAAAUCGGGAUUAAUACUCCAUAAUAUCCAUUUAUCUCAUGUUAGUUGGAUUAAAGCUCCGGCGGUUGAAGAUGGGCAUGCGUGACAUUAGUUUGUUGGUGAGGUAACGGCUCACCAAGACUACGAUGUCUAGGGGUUCUGAGAGGAUUUUCCCCCACACUGGUACUGAGACACGGACCAGACUCCUACGGGAGGCAGCAGUAAGGAAUAUUGGGCAAUGGACGAAAGUCUGACCCAGCCAUGCCGCGUGCAGGAUGACAGCCCUACGGGUUGUAAACUGCUUUUAUACGGGAAGAAUCCCCCUCACGUGUGAGGGGUUGACGGUACCGUACGAAUAAGCAUCGGCUAACUCCGUGCCAGCAGCCGCGGUAAUACGGAGGAUGCAAGCGUUAUCCGGAUUUAUUGGGUUUAAAGGGUGCGUAGGCGGAAUGGUAAGUUAGUGGUGAAAUCCCCCGGCUCAACCGGGGAACUGCCAUUAAUACUGCCGUUCUUGAGUAUAGUUGAAGUGGGCGGAAUGUAUCAUGUAGCGGUGAAAUGCUUAGAUAUGAUACAGAACACCGAUAGCGUAGGCAGCUCGCUAAACUA